CCCUACUAGUAGAGGAUAGCCGGCGAAGUACGGAGUUAAUACUCUAUGUUUCCGUUUGUCAGACAUCUAAGAUGGAACAAAGGCUUGCCGCUAUAGGAUGGGGAUGCGUCUGAUUAGGUAGUCGGCGGGUAACGGCCCACCGAGCCUUCGAUCAGUAGGGUUCUGAGAGGAAGGUCCCCCACAUUGGAACUGAGACACGGUCCAAACUCCUACGGGAGGCAGCAGUGAGGAAUAUUGGUCAAUGGGCGCGAGCCUGAACCAGCCAAGUAGCGUGCCAGGAUGACGGCCCUAUGGGUUGUAAACUGCUUUUAUGCGGGGAUAAAGUUCACUACGUGUAGUGUUUUGUAGGUACCGCAUGAAUAAGGACCGGCUAAUUCCGUGCCAGCAGCCGC
rnacentral:rRNA from 1 species